rnacentral:rRNA from 1 species
AUGUGGAGGAAGGCCUCACUGCCCCGUCGAUUUGCAAGCAUGAAUCAAGCGAGCUCCACCCCGAAGUGGAGGAAAUGGUACGCGGCCGUCGAUCUGCGCGCGUCUAACCAUGGAGAUGGAGGGCUCGCCCCCUCGCGCGCUCCUCCACGGAGUGCUAGCAGCCCACACGGCGUACAUCAGCCAUCCGUUUCGUCCGUCCCAUGCGCCGGCCGCUGGUGGCUACCGCUCUGUUCUGUUCAUCCCCCGCCCGCCGCACGCGAUGGCCCACACUGCCAUGUUGUUUUGCUGCGGCCAGACCGCCGUCCCUGCCCUCGCGCUCCGGGCAGAGCCUCAUUCUUGCUGGUAUGCGUUCCUCCCGGCGGUGGCGCUCUGCCCACUGCGUCGCCUUUCUUCCAGCGGCUGCGCCGUUCAACCCCUACCUCUAACCUAUUGAUCUGGCAACAUAGAGAGGAAGCUGCAAAGACGCGUGAUGAGUUUCGACUUUGGACAUCUGAAUAG